GCGGAUGGUUGGAUGACCGCGCAUAUCGGCUCUUGGGCAUGUAUGCGAGGAAAGUCCGGGCUCCAUGAGGCAAGGGUGCCGGGUAACGCCCGGCUGGGGCAACCCAAGGGAAAGCGCCACAGAAAACAGACCGCCAUGCGCUUGUAUGGUAAGGGUGAAACGGUGGGGUAAAAGCCCACCGCGGGACGGGUAACCGGACCGGCACGGCAAGCCCCACCCGGAGCAAUGCCGAAUAGGGAUCUCACGCGGGCAUGAUCCGGGCGACCGGAUAUCACCGCAGGGCCGCCUCAGCCCGAGGUCCGGGUUGGCAGCAAGACCCUGUCUGCAAGGGCAGGGCCAGAUGAAUGGUCAUCCAAGGGGGAAUACCCCCGGGACAAAACCCGGCUUACAGACCAUCCGCACAA
rnacentral:RNase_P_RNA from 2 species